rnacentral:misc_RNA from 1 species
AACGCAUCUUGCGCUCCUUGGUAUUCCGAGGAGCAUGCCUGUUUGAGUGUCAUUUGAACUUAUCUCAACCAUGUCGUCUUUUCGAUGUGGCUUGGAUGUGGGGGUAAUUUUUUGCAGGCUUUAAAUUUUGAAGCCAGCUCCCCUGAAAUGCAUUAGUGGUAUCUGAGCUGCUAUUGGUGUGAUAAUUUAUCUAUGCCUUUGGUAACAGCGAGUGCUGCUUAUAACAACAACAACAAUUGACAAAUUUGACCUCAAAUCAGGUAGGACUACCCGCUGAACUUAA